rnacentral:tmRNA from 1 species
GGGGGCGAAAUGGAUUAGACAUCUGUUUUUGAACCUAAAGUGCAUGUCGAGCUUGUAGCAAUCUCGUUAAAAAAAGUUACAAAACAAUUAGUUGGCAAUAAAGCAAACUACGCUCUAGCCGCAUAAUUUGGCUAGCUCUCCUUACCUAAUGUCUAUUAAGGUAAUUGAGAGUCGAUUAAUAGACUGCUUAGGAAGGUUUUUCUGUAACUUUUCUAAUAAGCUAAAACAGAAUACUUUUUAUUUAUCCUGCUCAUCGGAGAUUUAAUAAAGGAAUUUAAAAGAUGAAUCUAAACAUGUAGAUCUGAUGGGGAUGAAUUGAUGGACGCGGGUUCGAUGCCCGCCGCCUCCACCA